rnacentral:rRNA from 1 species
AGCAUAUCAAUAAGCGGAGGAAAAGAAACUAACAAGGAUUCCCCUAGUAACUGCGAGUGAAGCGGGAAAAGCUCAAAUUUAAAAUCUGGCGGUCUUUGGCUGUCCGAGUUGUAAUCUAGAGAAGUGUUAUCCGCGCUGGACCGUGUACAAGUCUCCUGGAAUGGAGCGUCGUAGAGGGUGAGAAUCCCGUCUUUGACACGGACUGCCAGUGCUUUGUGAUGCGCUCUCAAAGAGUCGAGUUGUUUGGGAAUGCAGCUCAAAAUGGGUGGUAAAUUCCAUCUAAAGCUAAAUAUUGGCGAGAGACCGAUAGCGAACAAGUACCGUGAGGGAAAGAUGAAAAGAACUUUGGAAAGAGAGUUAAACAGUACGUGAAAUUGCUGAAAGGGAAACGCUUGAAGUCAGUCGCGUUGGCCUGGAAUCAACCUUGCUUUUGCUGGGCGUACUUCCUGGUCGACGGGUCAGCAUCAAUUUUGACCGUUGGAAAAAGCUCAGGGAAAUGUGGCAUCUUCGGAUGUGUUAUAGUCUCUGUUCGCAUACAACGGUUGGGAUUGAGGAACUCAGCACGCCGCAAGGCCGGGUCUUUUGACCACGUACGUGCUUAGGAUGCUGGCAUAAUGGCUUUAAUCGACCCGUCUUGAAACACGGACCAAGGAGUCUAACAUGCCUGCGAGUGUUUGGGUGGAAAACCCGAGCGCGUAAUGAAAGUGAAAGUUGAGAUCCCUGUCGCGGGGAGCAUCGACGCCCGGACCUGACCUUUUGUGACGGCUCCGCGGUAGAGCAUGUAUGUUGGGACCCGAAAGAUGGUGAACUAUGCCUGAAUAGGGUGAAGCCAGAGGAAACUCUGGUGGAGGCUCGUAGCGAUUCUGACGUGCAAAUCGAUCGUCAAAUUUGGGUAUAGGGGCGAAAGACUAAUCGAACCAUCUAGUAGCUGGUUCCUGC